rnacentral:misc_RNA from 1 species
GAUGAAGAACGUAGCGAAAUGCGAUAUGUAAUGUGAAUUGCAGAAUCCAGUGAAUCAUCGAAUCUUUGAACGCACAUUGCGCCCGCCAGCAUUCUGGCGGGCAUGCCUGUUCGAGCGUCAUUUCAACCCUCGACCUCCCCUUGGGGAGGUCGGCGUUGGGGACCGGCAGCACACCGCCGGCCCUGAAAUGGAGUGGCGGCCCGUCUGCGGCGACCUCUGCGUAGUAAUACAGCUCGCACCGGAACCCCGACGCGGCCACGCCGUAAAACACCCAACUUCUGAACGUUGACCUCGAAUCAGGUAGGACUACCCGCUGAACUUAAGCAUAUCAAUAAGCGGAGGA